CCUACGGGGCGCAGCAGUGAGGAAUAUUGGUCAAUGGGCGGGAGCCUGAACCAGCCAAGCCGCGUGAAGGAAGAAGGCGCCAGGCGUCGUAAACUUCUUUUGUCGGGGAACAAAGGGCGCCACGUGUGGCGUUGUGAGUGUACCCGAAGAAAAAGCAUCGGCUAACUCCGUGCCAGCAGCCGCGGUAAUACGGAGGAUCCGAGCGUUAUCCGGAUUUAUUGGGUUUAAAGGGUGCGUAGGCGGUUUGAUAAGUUAUAGGUGAAAUGUCGGGGCUCAACCCCGAAACUUCCUC
rnacentral:rRNA from 1 species